GGCGGGAAUAGCUCAGUGGUAGAGCAUCGCCUUGCCAAGGCGAGGGUCGCGGGUUCGAAUCCCGUUUCCCGCUU
rnacentral:tRNA from 1 species